UAUGACGGUACUCUAUAAGUAUAGAGCAUCGGCUAUACUCCGUGCCAGCAUGGGCCGCGGUAAUACGGGUGGAUGCAAGCGUUAUCCGGAAUUACUGGGCGUUAAGCGUCUGCAGGUGGCUUAAAAAGUCUGCUGUUAUAAUAUUAGAGCUCAACUUCUGAGUAAGUCAGUGGGAUACCUGUUACGGCUAUGAGUAUGGUAUUGGGUAAAGGGAAACUCCCAGUGUAGUCGGUGAAAUGGCGUAGAUAUUGGGAAGAACACCAGUAGCGAAAGCGCUUUACUAGACCAUUACUGACACUCAGAGUACGAAAGCUAGGGGAGCAAAUGGGAUUAGUAUACCCCAGUAGUCCUAGCCGUAAACGAUGGAUAUCUAGAUGUUGCGUGUAUCGACCCAUGCAGUAUUCGUAGCUAACGCGUUAAGUAUCCCGCCUGGGAAGUAUGCUCGCCAGAGUGAAACUCAAAGGGAGAUUGACGG
rnacentral:rRNA from 1 species